CAGGCAAACUCAUAACAGCCU
rnacentral:snRNA from 1 species